AUGAUGAUGAUGAUGAUGGAGGUAAUGGUAAAAAUUACUAUCAUGAAGAUGAUGACAGUGAUGAUUCUAUGGCUUCUGAUGCUUCUUCUGGUCCAAGUCAUCAAGGCACAGAUUUCAAGCUCCAGAAAGAUGCUGAUGGCAAGUAUCAGUCCCAGAGGAAACCUAACAACAAACAAGUGGAGAAGCAGCAGCAAAAAGCUGAAAGAAGGAGAAAGGAGGAGAACAAAGAUCAAGAAGUGGGAUUUAUGGCAAGAAGAGCUUAUAAUAAAAGUGCUCCUGCUCAAAGCAGUUCCAAGGUAAGAAAAAGCAUAAGCUGGAUGGGAAAAGAAAAAUAGCUAGCUGGCUAGCUAGUAUAUAUUGUUCUUCUUAUUUCUACUACUAGUAGCUGUUUUGCAGGAUCUGCAUGUAGCUAGCUAGCUUUGGCUGAAAAUGUAGAAGAAUUAAAAUAGCUAUCUAGCUUAUAACUAGGUUAUGUGCUUCCCUAUAUUCUAAAAUGUUGCAGGAGUUGAAUCAAGCAAUUAUA
rnacentral:misc_RNA from 1 species